rnacentral:rRNA from 1 species
AACCAGACUCCUACGGGAGGCAGCAGUGGGGAAUAUUGGACAAUGGGGGGAACCCUAAUCCAGCGACGCCGCGUGAGUGAAGAAGUAUUUCGGUAUGUAAAGCUCUAUCAGCAGGGAAGAAAGAAAUGACGGUACCUGACUAAGAAGCCCCGGCUAACUACGUGCCAGCAGCCGCGGUAAUACGUAGGGGGCAAGCGUUAUCCGGAUUUACUGGGUGUAAAGGGAGCGUAGACGGUUGUACAAGUCUGAUGUGAAAGCCCCCGGCUCAACUGUGGGAGUGCAUUGGAAACUGUAGAACUAGAGUAUCGGAGAGGCAAGUGGAAUUCCUAGUGUAGCGGUGAAAUGCGUAGAUAUUAGGAGGAACACCAGUGGCGAAGGCGGCUUACUGGACUGUAACUGACGUUGAGGCUCGAAAGCGUGGGGAGCAAACAGGAUUAGAUACCCGAGUA